GAAAAAAGGUCACGACAGGGGUGUAAUCAUUAGUCCAAAUUAGUUUAAAACGAGAGUUUCUAUUGGACCAAUUCAGGUAGGUCCCUCCCCGUUUCGUUCCAUUUAAUUCAGUUUAAGAAACAUUCUGGAACAGAAUUGACGUAAUGAAUAUACCCAAGAAAAAUCUUAGACUGAAAAAUAUUUGGGGCGGCAGGGUAGCCUAGCGGUUGGAGCGUUGGACUAGUAACCGAAAGGUUGCAAGUUCAAAUCCCCAAGCUGACAUCUGUCGUUCUGCACCUGACUUGCCUAGUUAAAAAUACACAUAUAAAAACAUCUCGAAUGCAAUUGUGAUUAUUUUAGUGAUAGAGGAGUAUAGUGUGUUAUGGGUUAGAUGUAAUGAUAGAGGAGUAUAGUGUGUUAUGGGUUAGAUGUAGUGAUAGAGUAUAGUGUGUUAUGGGUUAGAUGUAGUGAUAGAGGAGUAUAGUGUGUUAUGGGUUAGAUGUAGUGAUAGAGGAGUAUAGUGUGUUAUGGGUUAGAUGUAAUGAUAGAGUAUAGUGUGUUAUGGGUUAGAUGUAGUGAUAGAGUAUAGUGUGUUAUGGGUUAGAUGUAGUGAUAGAGGAGUAUAGUGUGUUAUGGGUUAGAUGUAGUGAUAGAGUAUAUAGUGUGUUAUGGGUUAGAUGUAGUGAUAGAGUAUAUAGUGUGUUAUGGGUUAGAUGUAGUGAUAGAGUAUAGUGUGUUAUGGGUUAGAUGUA
rnacentral:lncRNA from 1 species